rnacentral:rRNA from 1 species
UGAGGAAUAUUGGUCAAUGGGGGCAACCCUGAACCAGCCAAGUCGCGUGAAGGAUGAAGGUCUUAUGGAUUGUAAACUUCUUUUAUAGCAGAAUAAAGUGACCCACGUGUGGGUUUUUGUAUGUAUGCUAUGAAUAAGGAUCGGCUAACUCCGUGCCAGCAGCCGCGGUAAUACGGAGGAUCCGAGCGUUAUCCGGAUUUAUUGGGUUUAAAGGGUGCGUAGGCGGAAAGAUAAGUCAGCCUGUGAAAGUUUGCGGCUCAACCGUAAAAUUGCAGUUGAUACUGUUUGUCUUGAGUGUACAUAAGGUAGGCGGAAUUCGGGGUGUAGCGGUGAAAUGCUUAGAUAUCACGAAGAACUCCGAUUGCGAAGGCAGCUUACCGGGGUACAACUGACGCUGAUGCACGAAAGUGUGGGUAUCAAAC